AUGACCCUCCAGUCCUGCCGCAUGUCAUCUGCUUUGGGGGCCAUGCAAUUGAGGAUCGCGAGGAAAAGCGGCAUCUGGGGCCCUGUGAGUACACGUGGGAAGGUGCGGGGGGUCAGGGCAGGCUGGCCUCAGGGACAGCGGGAUCCAGGGCAAACCCAGCGGUCCCAGGCCCGCUCCACCCUCAGCCGGCAUCUGUGGCCACCUGUGGAACCAGCGGCCGCGUGUGCCUCCCCCGCCGACAGGUGGGUUCCCACAGCACCAGCUCCUUGUGGGGGGGGCGGGAAAAUAAAAAGGCAAGUCCAGACACAGGCUCCAGCCACGGGGCCAAGUAGUCACAGGGUGGAAGGUGCAGCCCGGGGGGGCCAGCAACGGUGUUGUGACACACAGCAUCGUGGUGACAUGGAGACACGGCAGGUGGGCCACAGCACGACACAGAGAUGCCGAAGCGCCGGUCAUAGCCCUGAGCGAGUGCACGGGGGCGCGUCACCUGUACCCAAAUCCAAACGUGGAAAGAGUAAAGACAUACAUUUACUUUGUGGUUAUUUAAAAAGGCAAGUACGGAAGCUGCCAGAGCUCAGGGUCGGGGUGAGGAGGGGCUGCCCUGGGGAGGGAGCAGGGCUAGGGGGUGAGGCUGCCUGCCCCCGAGGAGGGCCCCGGGAGGGUCCAGCGAGCGGAGCUCAGGGAGGAGGACGCUCAGGAGCAAGAGGCCAGGCCUCACAGGACAGCCCGCGGGAGCCCGGGCCCAGGUGGAUGUGGACGGCUCCGGCUCCACGUCGGGGAGGACGGCGCUCACCCUCCAGGAGCCUGGGGAGGAGGCAGGUCCUCCCAGCCAGCGCCUCCGAGAGGUUCCCACGGCCCCAGACUGAGGACAGGGGCGACCUGGCUUCUGGAGCGGGAAGGCUGCGCCAGGUCCCCCAGGAGGCCCCAGGGAAGCUGCAGGGGGAGCCCCGGAGCUGCAGAGCCCCCAGGAGCAGGGUCGCAGCGCAGGUCGGGGAGGCAGGCAAGAGGCGAGCCUGGGGCGCCACCCUGCCAACCGGUGGCCAGGCACCUGCCCCCCUUCCUUCCCACGUGGCUCCCACAUCCACAUGCUUCAGGCUGACAGAGGCGCCAGGCCCCCCGCCAGCCCCCUUCCUCAAGCCUUCCUCUCCCACAUGUCCCCAAGCCCUGGGGCGGUCUGAGCUGGCUGGCCGACAGGGACGGGGCCGAAUACCUGUCCACUGA
rnacentral:lncRNA from 12 species